CAGUAGCCACGGUAAUACGAAGGGUGCAAGCGUUAAUCGGAAUUACUGGGCGUAAAGCGUGUGUAGGUGGUUGUUUAAGUCUGUCGUGAAAGCCCUGGGCUCAACCUGGGAAUUGCGAUGGAUACUGGGCGACUAGAGUGCGGUAGAGGAUAGUGGAAUUUCCGGUGUAGCAGUGAAAUGCGUAGAGAUCGGAAGGAACAUCUGUGGCGAAGGCGACUAUCUGGGCCAACACUGACACUGAGACACGAAAGCGUGGGGAGCAAACAGGAUUAGAUACCCCCGUAGUCCCUGUCUCUUAUAC
rnacentral:rRNA from 1 species